GAUGGGGAGAGAAGUUACCACCGAACAUUUACCGAGUGUUUCAUUCAGGGAACAGAGACACGAGCCGGAGCAGCUUAUCCAGGGAACCACUGAGGAAUAUCUGACCCCAAAAAAAAGCUGACUUCCAUCCUUCCUUCCUCCUCCUCCAGUCAAGACCAGAUCCACCUACCAUCUUCCAUGUCGCCAAACUAAAGAAGAAGAAGACAGAAGAAAGAAGAAGAAGAAGAAGCAGCAGCAGCAGCAGCUCGGCUCAGUUGGACAGCGGCCGCGCGCGGACUCCUGUCGUCUGCCCCUCUCUUCUUCUUUUCUACGCAACAAAAAGAGAGUAACCAUUUCGGUCCUGGAGGAAGCGAAGAGGAAGAAGACGCAGAAGCGAAAGGCGACGAGAGAAGCGGAAGACGUGGAAGAAGACGACGGCGCAGGUGAAAGUGACAGAGGCAGAAUGAACAGCAACAAAACCGAGAAGGAGAUCGAGCAGAGUGAAUUCACCAACCACGAGGAGGAGGUCCGAACGCUAUUCGUCAGUGGACUACCGCUGGAUAUCAAGCCGCGGGAGCUCUAUCUCCUGUUCAGACCUUUUAAGGGUUAUGAAGGCUCCUUGAUCAAACUCACCUCCAAACAGCCGGUGGGGUUUGUCAGCUUUGACAGUCGAUCAGAGGCGGAGGCUGCUAAGAAUGCCUUGAACGGGGUCAGGUUUGAUCCGGAAAUCCCCCAGACCCUGCGGCUGGAGUUCGCCAAGGCCAACACCAAGAUGGCCAAGAACAAGCUGGUUGGCACCCCCAACCCCCUCCCUUCCCAGCAGAGCCCGGGGCCACAGUUCAUCAGCAGAGACCCAUAUGAGCUCACAGUGCCUGCUCUAUAUCCCAGCAGCCAGGACGUGUGGGCAUCAUACCCACUGUACCCGGCGGAGCUGUCGCAGGCCCUCCCACCCGCUUUCACCUACCCCUCCUCGCUCCACGCUCAGAUUCGCUGGCUUCCACCUGCAGAUGGAACUCCUCAGGGAUGGAAGUCCAGGCAGUUCUGCUGAAGUUCCUGAUGUGUGAUGGUGGCCGUGGCCGGCUGUGACGGGCGUUGCUGACUGCUUCUCAUGUCCAUUAGAAAAGCAAGGAGGACCGACCGGACUCCAGCACUCGGAGCAGCGUACCGUCGGCAGCAGCAGCCUCCUGGGCCUCAGGACAUUCUAGACCCCAGCCUCCAUCACACAUCGAGACCCCCACCACCGUCCCCGAAGUCCCUCCAACUCUUUUUUUUUAUACUGUUACAUACUCUAGAUUUACUGGCAGUGCUUUGGCCACACCUCCACUGACCACUCUGUGAAAAGGUACCGGGCACGCCCCUUUGUUAACCACACGACUGCAGUGGCUGUCUGAGGCUACAAUCCACACUGGUACGUUUAAGUUUAAAAACACACUGCUGUUACGCCACGCUACACGUGACCCUGAAGAAAAGGGUACCGCCUGUUUCUCCUUUGAGGUGGCAUGGUGGUGCAGUGGUUAACUCACCCCACAGCAGAAAGGUUCCUGGUCUGAUCCCAGGUCUGCCGGGGGCCCUUUCUGUGUGGAGUUUGCAUGUUCUCCCCGUGUCUGCGUGGGUUUUCUCCAGCUUCCCGCCCACAGUCCAAAGACCUGCAGAUUUGGGGUUAGGUUGAUUGGAGACUCUAAACUGAUCCAAUCUGCUUCCUAUUUACACGAUAUGUAAAAGGUCAUGUGAUGAGUUUUCAGGUGUGUACGUAUCUGAAUCGCGAGGAAAUCUCUCAUCUGGUCGUUGAUCAUUUCUUAUAAAGCCGUUUUAAAACAUAAGUGUAUUAUUGUGGACGUAGCCCAACAUUAGCCGCUCUCUUGCUUUGUGUUCUGUACGUAAUAGAAGUGUAAUGACAAGCCCGUCAAAAAAAAUACACUUUUAUUACUCAGUCACUUUGCAAGGCCAGAUGUGUGGACGUGCAGCCCAAGCACUGCUCGAUAAUGUUAUUAUAUUACUAUAAUUAUUACUCCUGUGUAUAUCAUUCAUAUUAAUGUUAUUACGAUUACUAAAUACAUGUUGAAGCAUGACUUUGCAAAAAAACGAAGAAAAAAAAACAAUGCUGUACAUUUUUAGAUAUUUUAAAGAAAUACAAAAAGGUAUUUUUGUAAUCCAGACGAUGUUUGAAAUGUUUGAUUGGUUUUUUUGUUGUGUUGAAGUGUGUGAGGAACUUUUCCUGUUUUCUGGUUUUUGUUUUGGGCCCUCUCUCGUUAGUGCCAUUAUUAAAAAAUGGCGUGUCACCCUGCUAUACCAAAGCAGCCCUGUCGGUUUGCUUUUGUCUUCUCUACAUACUGUGUGGACGCAGGUUUGCCCCGUUUGUGUCUUCGUGGCGGCGUCUUUCACCGGAUGAAGGAAAACGUAUUAGUCCGAUGUGCUGUGGUUCAACCGAGCAGUCGACGCCUGAUCCAGCUCAUCAUUUUGCAGUUUGACGUAAUCAGACGUGUAAAAACAAAAAAGGCAUUGACAGGAGUAAGCCAUCGGUGGUGAAGGAAGAGUGACCCCCCCCCCUAGAGACUCUAAAACAUGGCAAACUGAGUCCUGCUAUAAUUAGGAGCUGUCUCUUCAUUGUCUAGCAGCAGGACCGCAGCACAGUAUGGAGACAUAAAAGACCAAAGGCAUUUUUUUUUUUACACUGGAGAGCUUUCUAGGCGAGUGGAGUUAUUCUGCUUUUUGACUGCUUUGUAGUCCUCAAUCUGAUUUCUUAUGAAGUGUGACGUUAUUUUUUGCUUAAUGUCUCUUUUGGUGUCACUCCAAAGAGCCAGUCUGAAACGGAGAAGAUAUUCACUUUAGGCAAUUUGUCUCUUUUGUCUAUUUUUAGGGAGCCAAUGUGACUCAACCGGCUUUUGUAAAUUCUGAAUUUACAUAUCGGUGAUUGGAGCGCAGAGAGCAAAAAAACAACAACAACACAUCUUUUGUAAUCGUGUGUAUUCUGGGCCUGCAAUAAUGUCUUUACUGUACGACAUGUCGAGCGAUAAUGUUCCUGUGACAUUUUGACGCCAAAAUUCUCAUUCGUGUCACAUUUUGCACAAAAACAAAACCUGUGAGACUUUUACUUUCCUGGCGAGGCGAAGUCACAUUUCGCGGUGAUGUGACAAUCAAAAAAAAACCUGAAACAAACCUUUUCCCGGUGACGUUUUAGCCCAGAUGUGUACAAUCAUGUUGGACCGGUCGAAUCAUAUAGUCAGUGUUUGUAAUUAAUAAUAAUGAUAAUAUGCACGCACAUCAUAUCGACUGAUUCUAAGCAGAUUUUGCUUUUACGGACAUUUUUGACGCCGAGUGUGGCACCAAAUUUCUAAGUAUUUAUAAGGUGUGUGUGUGUGUUUUUUUAAUGGGUAUCAAGUUUUUGAAUUUCAUAGAAGAUGCCCAUCAUAUAAUUCAUUGUAAGUAUUAUUGUAAGUUUAAUUGUAUAUUCCUUUUACCGUAGGGCUCUUUUUUUUUUUCUAGAGCUUCAUAUUUGUGUUUGUAUCUGACUGAUUGGAACAAACUGUAUGUGAUAUAUGAAUACUGUUUUAUCUUCACUGUGAAAUCCAGAGGAAAAACCUGCUCUUUGAACGAAUGGAUCUAUUUGUGUUUUGUCAGCAGUACGGUACAGAAGUUCCUGGAAAUGAACACGAUGAUCCCUCCUUUCGUAGAUGAAAACUGCUCCUUCCCCCGUUUCAGUAUACCGUGUGCAUACCUGUGUGUUUCUGUGCAUGUUCACGGCAUGUGUGUGUGUGUGUGUGUUCUUUUUACUUUUCCUUAAAUGCAUACAGUACUGUUGAUAUUUAUGUACUCUAGCCGCUGUAAGGAGAAACUGUAUUUCAGUGAAUUGCAGAGGUGUGUUUGUUUGAAACCCCCCCCCCCCC